rnacentral:rRNA from 1 species
UACGGGGGGUGCGAGCGUUGUCCGGAAUCACUGGGCGUAAAGGGCGCGUAGGUGGUUUGAUAAGGGUGUGGUGAAAGCCCGGGGCUCAACCCCGGGUCUGCCGUGCCGACUGUCAAACUCGAGGGCUGUAGAGGCAGACGGAAUUCCGGGUGUAGCGGUGGAAUGCGUAGAGAUCCGGAAGAACACCAGUGGCGAAGGCGGCCCGCUGGGCAGUGGCUGACGCUGAGGCGCGACAGCGUGGGGAGCAAACAGG